CCUACGGGGGGCAGCAGUGGGGAAUAUUGCACAAUGGGGGAAAGCCUGAUGCAGCGACGCCGCGUGAGCGAUGAAGGCCUUCGGGUCGUAAAGCUCUGUCCUAAGGGAAGAAUACUGACGGUACCUUAGGAGGAAGCCCCGGCUAACUACGUGCCAGCAGCCGCGGUAAUACGUAGGGGGCGAGCGUUAUCCGGAAUUACUGGGCGUAAAGGGUGCGUAGGCGGCCCUGCAAGUCAGGGGUGAAAGGCCUCGGCUCAACCGAGGUGAGCCGUUGAAACUGUAGGGCUUGAGUGCAGGAGAGGAGAGCGGAAUUCCGAGUGUAGCGGUGAAAUGAGUAGAUAUUAGGAGGAACACCAGCGGCGAAGGCGGCUCUCUGGACUGUAACUGACGCUGAGGCACGAAAGCGUGGGGAGCGAACAGGAUUAGAUACCCGUGUAGUC
rnacentral:rRNA from 1 species